rnacentral:rRNA from 1 species
GAUGGAGCACGCCGCGUGAGUGAAGAAGGUCUUCGGAUCGUAAAACUCUGUUGUUGGAGAGAACACGAGUGAGAGUAACUGUUCAUUCCAUGACGGUAUCUAACCAGAAAGUCACGGCUAACUACGUGCCAGCAGCCGCGGUAA